GAUGAACGCUGGCGGCGUGCCUAAUACAUGCAAGUCGAGCGAACAGACGAGGAGCUUGCUCCUCUGACGUUAGCGGCGGACGGGUGAGUAACACGUGGAUAACCUACCUAUAAGUCUGGGAUAACUUCGGGAAACCGGAGCUAAUACCGGAUAAUAUAUUGAACCGCAUGGUUCAAUAGUGAAAGACGGUUUUGCUGUCACUUAUAGAUGGAUCCGCGCCGCAUUAGCUAGUUGGUAAGGUAACGGCUUACCAAGGCGACGAUGCGUAGCCGACCUGAGAGGGUGAUCGGCCACACUGGAACUGAGACACGGUCCAGACUCCUACGGGAGGCAGCAGUAGGGAAUCUUCCGCAAUGGGCGAAAGCCUGACGGAGCAACGCCGCGUGAGUGAUCAAGGUCUUCGGAUCGUAAAACUCUGUUAUUAGGGAAGAACAAAUGUGUAAGUAACUAUGCACGUCUUGACGGUACCUAAUCAGAAAGCCACGGCUAACUACGUG
rnacentral:rRNA from 1 species